ensembl:lncRNA
CUUUCUUUAGGAUUGGACUGAAAACUGACCUUUUCCAGUUCUUUGGCCACUGCUGAGUUUUCCAGAUUUGCUGGCAUAAUGAGUGCAGCACUAAUAACAUCUUUUAGGAUUUGAAACAGCUCAACUGGAAUUCCAUCACCUCCACUAGCUUUGUAGCGAUGCUUCCUAAGGCCCACUUGACUUCACAUUCCAGGAUGUCUGGCUCUGGAUCCAAGCUUCUCUCUUGCCCAGAAGGCUGAACACUCUUCCCAGAAUACUGUACCUCCAGUUGGUUGCUGGAUUCAAACGAGAGAAGAAAGGAGUGAGAGGAGCUCCCUGGGACUGGGGCAGUAUGACUCCAGUAAGCCGCUGUUAAAAGACACAUGAGGGAUUUCCCUGGAAGCCCAGCGAUUAAGACUCCACACGUCCACUGCAGGGGAUGCAAGUUCCAUUCCUGGUGAGGGAACUAAGAUCCCGCGUGCCGCAUGGACAAAAAAAAUAGAAAAGAAAAUUUCUUAAAUGGAAUAAAAAUGAAAAUAUAACAAAAUAACUAGUUAUUUUUUAAAAGGUUCAUGAUAGAGGAGAAGAAAAGGAAAAGGAGAAAGCAUGGAGUCAUUAAAAUUCACUGUAAUGGAGGAGUCUCAAGAAAUUAUUGCUCAGAUUGGCUAAUUCUCUGAGGAUAAGAAAUGGAAGAGGUAAGGUGUAAUGAGUGAGAGAAGUGGGGGGAUGGUUCAAGGUGAUAGCCACAGAGGGAGCCCUUGGUAAGCACAGUACUGGUAUUCCCUGACCAGUGCCAUAGCAGCAGAAAGGCCAG